rnacentral:rRNA from 1 species
CACGUAGGGGGCGAGCGUUGUCCGGAUUUAUUGGGCGUAAAGAGCUCGUAGGCGGUUCGGCAAGUCGGGUGUGAAAUUUCGAGGCUCAACCUCGAAACGCCACUCGAUACUGCUGUGACUGGAGUCCGGUAGAGGAGUGCGGAAUUCCUGGUGUAGCGGUGAAAUGCGCAGAUAUCAGGAGGAACACCAGUGGCGAAGGCGGCGACCUGGGCCAAUACUGACGCUGAGGUGCGAAAGCGUGGGGAGCGAACAGG